UGGGGAAUAUUGGACAAUGGGCGCAAGCCUGAUCCAGCCAUGCCGCGUGAGUGACGAAGGUCUUCGGAUUGUAAAGCUCUUUUGGCGGGGACGAUAAUGACGGUACCCGCAGAAUAAGCCCCGGCUAACUUCGUGCCAGCAGCCGCGGUAAUACGAAGGGGGCUAGCGUUGUUCGGAAUCACUGGGCGUAAAGCGCACGUAGGCGGAUUGAUAAGUUAGAGGUGAAAUCCCGGGGCUCAACCUCGGAACUGCCUUUGAUACUGUUAGUCUCGAGUCCGAUAGAGGUGAGUGGAAUUCCUAGUGUAGAGGUGAAAUUCGUAGAUAUUAGGAAGAACACCAGUGGCGAAGGCGGCUCACUGGAUCGGUACUGACGCUGAGGUGCGGAAGCGUGGGGAGCAAACAGGAUUAGAUACCCCAGUAGUCCCUGAGCGGGCUGGCAAGGCGCAU
rnacentral:rRNA from 1 species